GUGUUCAUUUCAGCAGCACAUUACUAAAUUUGAACAGUGCAGAGGUUAGCUAUGGCUCCUAUGCAAGGAUGACAUGCAGAUUCAUGAACUGUUCAUUUUU
rnacentral:snRNA from 1 species